AAAACUGUGAGAAUUUAGAAGAAGUGAAUUUUUCGGUCUCGUCCACAGGAUGAGGGGGAGUCUGUUAUUAUGGAAUGGUUUUCUACUUCUAAUUAUUGGAAUCGCAUCUGUCACCAGUUUAGAGAAUGAUGAUCUGGUGUUCGCUGAGAGCAGAUUGUCCGAGGCUGAAAUUCCUCUCGUAGAGAAACAUCAGGAUGAAUCCAUUUUGCAGAGGAUAAAAAGGGGAUUAUUUGAUUGGUUCUCAUCGCCUACGAAGUCAAAAUCGACGUCAACGUCGACGUCGACAUCAACAUCGACUUCAACAACAACAACCACAGUCGUUCCAGAACAAAAAGAAGACGACAGGAUUGUUGCUCCGUUGAUUGACGAAGAGGAAUCAAUUUUCAAGGAUGGUUCAACUCUGAAAAAGACUGCCGAUCAUGGAACACAUUUCUCAUUGCCAAACAGAGUGUCACGAGAAAGCGGCGAGGAGAACGCCAUCUACGAUGGAGAGUCUUUGCUGGAUGAGGAACACAGAAAUGACCAGUCAAAUGACAUCGGACAAUCGGAAUCUCGACGGACAGAAACAAGGUAUCGAAUCGGCGAUGAUGAAGAUCUUGUUGGAUCAGGAGAGGCUGAAGGAAGUGCCAUUGACUUGGAUCCCCCUAGGAGAACCGAUUCGAAAAAGACAAGAUUUUAUCGAGCAACUCUUACAAUUGGCGAGCCGUACAGGAGGGACUACGCCGAUAGAAAUUCUCAGGAGUACAAAGCUUUGAGUUACAACUUAACAGAAACUUUGGCGCGAUUAUAUCAAAAGGAAGCACCCGAGGAUUUCACUCACGUUACUGUCGUCAAGAUAGAAAAUACAACCGACGCUUUCAAGUCUCAAGUCACACUUGACAUUGGAACCUCAAUUUCUAACGAGGAUGAGGUGCGAAACAUUCUUGAAGCAAAUCUGCAACUUCACACUUUGGGUUAUAUCCAAGUUAGUCCAGAGGGAUUCUCCUUCCGCAGUUUUCAAGGAAUAGGCGAUACUGCAUAUGAAUGCAACAGCUUAACGGAAUUGACGUGUCGUAGUGGUGCCUGUGUUCCUCUUCAUUCUCGUUGUGAUGGUAUUAAAAAUUGUGACGAUGGAUCUGACGAAUUGGACUGUCCUUCAACAACUGAACAUGGUCGAGAUGAAGAACCGGAUUCUAACCAAUUGUUCAAUACGACGAACAGACCAAUUGAAAAUAAAUGUCGAGCAGAUGACGUUGUGACAUGUCCUGAUGGAAGUCGACGUAUUUGUGGUGUUCAAAUGUGUGAUGGCACCCCUGAUUGUGACGAUGGAAGUGAUGAAGAAAAUUGUCCACAUCCAGGUUGCAGUAUUGGAGAAUUCGCCUGCGAUGUUUCACGAUGUAUUUUGGAAACUCAACGAUGUGACUACAAAAUCGACUGCCAUGACAACAGUGACGAGCACGACUGCGACUAUCCCGCUUGUAGCUCGAAUCAGUUCAAAUGUAGAAAUCAACAAUGUAUAGACAUUAAACAAUAUUGUAAUGGAGUGCCAGAUUGCUUGGACGGUUCGGACGAAAUAAAAUGCCAAUCUAGAAAAUGUACAGACGACGAGUUUGAAUGCACGCCAGGGUACUGCGUGUCAAACUCCAGACGAUGUGACGGAGUAAAUGACUGCCAAAACAGAAGGGACGAGCUCUAUUGUGGAUCGCACAACAAAACUCGAAUCUGUGGUCCGGAUCAAUUUGAGUGUGAUAAUGGUCGUUGCAUCAACAUAAAUCAGAAGUGCGAUGGUCGACAGGAUUGUCGCGAUUAUACUGACGAGCACAAUUGCAAUGUGACAUCGUGUCCUGCAGAUCAGUUCCGCUGUUUGGAUGGCACCUGUUUGAAUAUAGAUAAAAGAUGUGACGGAAUUCAAGAUUGCCGCAAUGGAGACGACGAGAUCCAGUGUGGUUGCAAAGCUGCGGAAUUUAGCUGCGCGGACGGAACUUGCAUCGACUAUGGGUUGCAGUGCAACGGCUACGAGGACUGUCACGACGGCUCUGACGAGAAAGAUUGUGGUUUGGCUCCGUGCCCUUCAAUGGACUUCACCUGCGAGGACGGCUCUUGUAUACCAGUAACCUCGGUUUGCGACGGAUACGACGACUGCCCCAAGGCAGAAGAUGAGCUUCAUUGUGAUCGAGAUUGUACUCCAACUCAAUUCAAAUGUGCCACUGGGGGGAAAUGCAUCGAAGGCAUCUACAGAUGUGAUGGCCGUCCGGAUUGUCCAGAUAAAAGUGACGAGGAUUGUCCUUCAUUAACGCCUAAAGAACCCGUGUCUACAACGAACCAUUCGAGACCAUCCUGGAAUAUUGUGCAGACAAGGAAUUGUGAUCCAAGGACUGAAAUGCGUUGCGACGAUGGCCAUUGUAUUUCCCUUCAUCAAAAAUGUGACAAUGUUAUUGAUUGUCGAGAUCAAAGUGACGAACGCGAUUGUGGACUCUGCGUUCCUGGGGAAUGGAAAUGUAUGAACAACGAGUGUAUUCUGGAAAGCGAGAGAUGCGAUGGGAUGCUUCAAUGUGUGGACGAAUCGGACGAAAUCGGUUGCGAAUGUAAAAGCGAUGAAAGAAUGUGCGCUAAUGGUAUUUGCAUCAAAGCUGACUUUUUCUGUGAUGGAAGGACCGAUUGUUUAGAUGGAAGUGACGAGAGAGAUUGUAAAAAUCCGAACGAGAUUCCAAGUUAUCCAAGUUGUUCACCAAAUGAAUUCACCUGCGCCGAUGGAUCCUGCAUUCCCAACUCGUACGUCUGCAACCACAGGCCCGAUUGUUCCGACAGUUCCGAUGAAGUAAAUUGCCGAGGUUGCACUCGUGAUCAGUUCCAGUGUUGGAGUAAUGGUGUUUGCAUUCAUGGAAAUCAAAGAUGUGACAGAAUUUACAAUUGUGAUGAUGGUUCUGAUGAAACUGAGUGUCCAAAUGUUGAUAAUACAACUCGACCGGGAGGUCAUCCCAUGCCUGGCUGUCCUGGAAAAUUCAUGUGUCGUUCUGACAAUACGUGUUUACCUCUAUCUGCUCGUUGUAACGGAAUUCCAGAAUGUAGAGAUCGCUCCGAUGAAGAACAUUGCGAAUGUGAACCUGACCAUUGGAGAUGUGAAAAAGGUCCUUGUAUUCAUAUUACAUUGAGAUGUAAUCAUAUGAUAGAUUGUCCUUUUGAUAAUUCGGACGAAUUGGACUGCGAUUUCUACGAUAGUAACUCAUCCUUGGCUGGCCUGGAUUUGAAAACAUAUCCCAGCGAACAAGUCAUUAAAGAAAACCCAGCGAAAUUAGGUCGAGAAGUCGUGUUCCAAUGUCGUGAUGAAGGACCUCUUCGAUCUAAGGUUCGGUGGAUUAGAGGAAAUGGUUUACCGCUUCCACCGGGCAGUACAGAUGUUAAGGGACGUUUGGAGAUUCCGAAUAUUCAACUUGAACACGCAGGAAUUUACGUUUGUGAAGCACUUGGACAUUAUCAUAGCCCUGGAAAUCAGAAAAUUGUCAAUCUUCAAGUUGAAAAGUUCGAAUUUCCCACCAAUCGACCACCGCAAACUUGUGGUUACGAUCAAGCCACUUGCAGCAAUGGAGAAUGUAUUCCAAAAUCCAAAGUGUGCGACGAUGUUUUCGAUUGUUCUGAUGGAUCUGACGAAAUGAGAUGCAAGAAAUACGGAUGUGAACCAAACGAAUAUCGUUGUGCCAACAAGCAGUGCAUAAGUAAAUUGUGGCGUUGCGAUGGAGACAAAGACUGUAGCGAUGGAAGUGAUGAAGAAAAUUGUGCACCAACACCACCUGGCUCACCGUGUCGAAACAGUGAAUUCCAAUGCAGAAGUCACAAUCAGUGCAUUCCAAAAAGCUUCCAUUGUGAUGGCGAACGCGAUUGUCAGGACGCUAGUGAUGAACUCGGAUGUUCUCCCGUCUACAUCACAAAGCCACCUCAACCAAUGGUCAUUCUAAAACCAGGAGACGUGAUGAUCCUCACUUGUACAGCAACCGGAAUUCCAAUUCCAGAGAUCAAUUGGCGAUUGAAUUGGGGACACAUUCCAGCGAAAUGCACCUCAACAUCAGUAAACGGAACGGGAACUCUGACUUGCGAAGAUAUUCAAAUAUCCGAUCAGGGCGCCUACUCUUGUGAAGCUCUAAACAUCGCCGGCUUCGUUUUCGCCGUUCCCGACGCGAUUCUUGUAGUGAAAUCCGAAGGUGAACGAAUAUGCCCACCUGGAAAGUUCAACGCCGACGCCAAGUCUCCAGAAGAAUGCAUCUCCUGUUUCUGCUUCGGAGUUGCCACCGACUGUAGAAGUGCCAAUCUCUUCACCUACCAGAUUCCUCCACCUUUCGACAGGCACAGAGUCGUGAAUGUUGACACCUCUUCGGGAAUUAGAAUCGGAAGUGACGCCGAUCGAAGUUUGAUUGGAGUGCAACCAAUUGGCACCGAUGGAGCACAAUUGAUUUCUUCCUAUUACAACGAACUUGACAAUUACAAUAUUCCGUAUUUUGCUCUUCCGGAAGUUUUCCGUCAUGAACAACUCAAGUCUUAUGGAGGUUAUUUGAAAUAUACGAUUAGAUACAGUGGAAAUGGAGUUCCAAAUGAAGCGCCAGCUGUGAUUUUGAAAGGAAAUAAUAUCACAUUGAUUUACAAGGGUAAAGAAGUGCUGCCACAUUAUGACACCGAGGAAAGUGUUCGAUUCUUUGAAGGUUAUUGGAACAAGAAACUCGGAAGGUACGAGGAGCUUGCGGCCCGAGCUGAUAUCAUGAUGGUUCUACAAAACAUUGACGAAAUACUCAUCAAAGCUAAAUAUGAAGAUUCACCGGAACUGGAUGUGACAAUUACGAACAUUGUUUUCGACUCUGCGGACACUACGAAUACUGGUCUCGGUUCUGCAGCUUUCGUUGAAGAAUGCAUGUGUCCUGCGGGAUAUUCCGGAUCGUCUUGUCAGUCGUGUGCUUCCAGUCACAGAAAAAUGCAUAGUGGUCAAUUUUUGGGCCACUGCGUUCCGGACAAAGUGGAAGUCUGCCCGCCAGGAUAUUAUGGUGAUCCUUCGAGAAAUAUUCCUUGUCAACUUUGUCCAUGUCCUCUCACCAAUCCGGAUAAUCAACACGCUCGAACAUGUCGUCUUGGACCGCGUAAUGAACCAAUUUGUGAUUGUCCAUCUGAAUAUACUGGAGAUCGAUGCGAGAAAUGUGCGGCUGGAUUCCAGGGCGAUCCUUACAGAGGAAAAUGUAUACCGCUGUUGACAGCAUUGUGCGAUCCAGUUGGUAGUAUCAGUAGUUACGUGGAUCCUCGUACUAAUUCAUGUCGAUGCAAGCCCCACACAACUGGUCCUUUGUGCGAUGAAUGUAAGGAUAACGCCAUUCGUCUUCCCUCAUCGAAACACUUGAGAUGUCUUUCGUGCUUCUGCAUGGGUGCCACCAACAGAUGCGCUGCCUCCAAUUUGUACCGAAGCGAGAUUCGAGUAACAUUUUCCUCAUCUACUCGAGACUUCUCAUUGGUUGAGUCGAGAUCACCAAACGCCGAACCUAUCUUCAACGAUCUGAGAAUUGACGCAGUUUCGCGUGAAAUGAUUUAUAGAAAUUUCCCCAAUCGUGGCAAUAAUGAUGUUUAUUAUUGGCAGUUACCAAAUAUUUUCUUGGGAGACAGAGUUACAUCCUAUGGCGGAUAUUUGAAAUAUACGGUUCGAUAUAUGCCUUCUCCUGGCGGACAAAGUUCCAGAAAUAGCGCCGCUGAUGUCAUUUUGAUGAGUUCCAACAGUGAAUUAAUCUUGCUUCACUACGCGUCCAGCAACAGAACGAGCUCAGUUGAUUUUAAUACACCACAAACAUUUAAUGUUCCAUUGUUGGAGGAAUAUUGGCAACGAGAAGAUGGCACAAAAGCUGACAGACAGUAUCUCUUGGUAGCAUUAGCUGAUGUCAAGGCAAUUAGAAUUAAAGCCACUUAUACCACACACACUGACGAAGCUGCACUGUCAAUGGUUUCACUCGAUACGGCAGAAAGAUUUAAUACUGGAAGAGAACGAGCGCCUGAAGUUGAGGAAUGUAGUUGUCCAGCUGGUUACAAAGGUUAUUCUUGUGAAGAUUGCGAUGUUGGAUACACACGAGUUGCCGAAGGAAUAUAUCUUGGAAGCUGUGAUCCUUGCAAUUGUAAUGGACAUUCUAAAUUCUGCGAUGCUGAAACCGGUGUAUGCAAGAAUUGUGAUCAUCACACAUUUGGCGACCACUGUGAAUACUGCGAAUAUGGCUACGAAGGGGACGCAACUCGUGGCUCACCACACGAUUGUCAACAAAAUGGUACAGUGACACCAAGUUGCGAUCCUGCAGGUUCCGAAAACGGUCUAUUAGUUAGCGAACAGUGCAUGUGUAAACGAAAUGUCAUUGGUUCUCGAUGCGAUCGCUGUCGUCCUUCAACUUUCGGUCUCUCGAUAAACAACACCGAUGGAUGUAACCAAUGUUUCUGCAGUGGUGUCUCCAAUCAAUGUCAUGAAAGUUCUCUCUACAUUCAACAACUGCCAAUAUUUAUUUACGAUAAUAGUAAUAAAUUCAUACUCACCGACAGUUCAAGACAACAAGUCAUCGACACUGUAUUCGACUUGAAUAUUGCAACAAAUGAAAUUGGCUAUCGAUACUCAGGAUCUCGUAGUCCCAGACUAUACUGGUCUCUUCCUAAAGAAUAUGCUGGCAAUAAGUUGACUAGUUACGGUUCCAAUUUAAUUUUGACUCAACACAUUAUUACUCAACCCAGGGCACGCACUUAUUCAGAUCAAGAUGUUAUUCUCUUCGGAAAUGGUAUCACACUCUACUGGAAAAAUGCACGAGAUUUAGUUCCUGGAGUUAAAAUGACGUACAACGUACCGUUUAGAGAAUCGGAAUGGUACCGAAUUACUCAGGAAGGGCCACGCAGAGCUUCGAGAAUUGAUCUUAUGACUGCUUUAACUGACGUCGAGGCAAUUUUGGUUCGAGCGACUCACAGUGAAGAAAUGAUUGGAACUUAUAUUAGCGACAUUAUUUUGGAAUUCGGUAGUCAAUCUUAUGGAACACAGCGAGCGACUCAAGUUGAGGUUUGCACUUGUCCCGAAGGAUAUGACGGUAACUCGUGCGAAAAUUGCAAAAGAGGAUACUACAGAAGCAAGAGUGACAGGUCCCGAAGUUUCCUUGGCAAUUGUGAAAAAUGUCCUUGCAGUAGCAAUGAAUUAAGUUGUGACUUGAGCCGCACUGGUCAAGUCAUUUGUCACUGUGCGCCUGGAUACACUGGACAUGAUUGCUCCCAACUACACGAGCUCAGAGUAGGUCUUAUGCCCGUGAAUGUUGUAAUGCCAUCAAACACCAUCGUCAAUUUUACAUGCAACUAUGAAGUGAUCGCAGAAAGAUUUAAGAUUAUUUUUAAUAUAUCGUCCUUCGAGGGAAAGCGAAUAACAGCUAGGGGUUCAAGUCUCAGUCAUAUGCACUGGACUGGGUAUGGUGGCUAUCGAUAUUGGAGUGUCAACAUUGGAACAACUCCAUGCCUUGUCGAAUGUUUUAUAUUGGAUAGACAGGGCAAAGAACUGGCUAGGAUUAUGACAUCUGUGAAACCAGGUUUCCCAGAUUCAUCUCGUAACCAAACAGUGGACACUGGAUAUCCUCCGGAGCCAACAAUAACCGUCGAAAUUACAGAACCUGCUUUCCAAAUUGUACAGACUGGAAAUACUGUUACAUAUCAUUGUUCGGGCAAAUCGAAAGAAUCGAACCAAGUCAGAAUCAAAUGGGAGAAGGAUGGAGGAAGACUUCCACCGGACAGAAGCAUUGACGAUGAAAGUGGAGUGCUAGUCAUUCAGGAUGUCACUGUUUCGGAUAGCGGCGUUUACAUUUGUCGCGUUACUGACGGUUACGAAGAGGCAACAAGUAAUGUCACACUUUCCGUUGGAGGAGCAUCUGAACCAACUAAACCCAGAGCGGAGAUAUCACCACGCUAUAAGGAGAUUUACGAAGGUGAAAGUUUUGAAUUCCGCUGCCAAGCGACGGGAUAUCCUCAACCUGAAGUAAGAUGGAUACGAGGAAAUGGUCCACUGAGUCAGGAGGUCAGAGUUCACGGCGGUGUUUUGAGAUUCACGAAUGUCAGGAAGAGCGAUGAGGAUGAGUACAAGUGUGUUGCGAAAAAUAGCGAAGGUGUUACUGAAGUAACGGCUGUGCUGUACGUUAAGGAUUAUCCCGAUUCAACGCCUCAUUCGCCGAUGAACAUCACUCUCCAACCAUCAGAAUGGACAGGAAGCAGUGGAGAUACAGUGCGAAUUACUUGUUCAGCGCCGAGAAACAGUAGAGUAACGUGGAGUCGUUCGGGAAAAAAUCCACUUCCACACUCGGCGACUCAACACAAUGGAGUUCUGAUAAUUCAAAAUCCAACGCCUAAUGAUUCUGGAGUUUAUAUCUGUACAGCUGUUAAUUAUGAAGGUCAGGAGAGAAGUGAAAUGGCCCGAAUUACCAUUAUGCCCAGGCAGGAAGUUCCGGCUGUAAAAGCUCAACCCGAAAGACAAACAGUCUCUCAAGGCACAAAUGCCGAAAUUAGAUGUAUUGUAUCUGGAGAGCAAGGAAUGCAUUUCAAAUGGAUGAAACAUGGAGAAACUUCUCUUGGUCCCAAUGCUCAGGAGAUGGGCGAUACUUUGAAAUUCCACAAUAUUCAAGUUCACGAUCGAGGAAUCUAUAUUUGCCGUGUCAGUAAAGCGAGAACGAGUUAUGAAGCUAGCGCCAUGAUUGAAGUUGAACAACGUCAAUCUCCGAUUGUGGAAUUGUACCCGAGCAAACUUCAAACUGUUCUGGUGGGAGGCUCGGCGGAUAUGCAAUGUCGUGCACAGGGUCUUCCAACUCCGGAAGUUCAGUGGUCUCGUGAAGAUGGUCGGCAAUUCUCGCAAAAUAUUGAGCAAUUGCCAGGAGGACUUUUGAGAUUGACGAAUAUCAGUUACAAUGACGAGGGACACUAUGUCUGCACGGCUGUAAAUACAGUUGGCAGAGCAACUUUAGCGGCGCAAAUUGUUGUUCAUUCCAGACCAAUAAUUACCAUCAGUCCAAAUAGUGGAAUUUUGAAUGUAAAAACUGGCGAUAGAGUAAAACUGAUUUGUUCCGCCACUGGCAAACCUCAACCGAACAUCGUUUGGACCAAGCGAACGGAUCCUGGAUUCACGGAUCCUUUCAGUAAAUCAGGAAGUAAUGCAGUUUACGAAAUUUACUCCGUUUCUCCGGACGAUGAAGCCACUUAUACCUGCCAAGCGACAAAUUCAGCAGGAGUUUCAGAAGAAAGUGUACAUAUCAAAGUUGAUGAAGACAUAAUUGACCAACCACCUUUGCCAUGUCGAGGAGAUCAACCAUGCAAUGAAGACAUUUCCUAUCCUCCAUCUAAUCCCAAUUCGGUGGUCAUAGAGGAUACAUUUAAUAAAAUACCAACUGGAGGAAAAGUUGAAUUACGCUGUCAAUUAAAAGGAAGGGACGUGGAACACAUCUAUCUAGAUUGGAGGAGAGGUAGACAUCUUGGGCUUCCAGAAGGAAGUACAAUUCAAGGUGGAAUCCUAACUAUACCCGUAGUAACAAAAGAAGCUGAGGGAGAAUACAUUUGCCUUGGACUCGAUCGACAUGGUUCAAUUUUAUUCGAGGCUAAAUCAAUCCUCGAAGUCGUUUCUGUCCCUAGAAUUGAAUUAAAUCCGACAAAACAAAUUGUACGUCCGGGAGAAAAUCCAAGCAUCUUGUGCCGAGCAACAGGUGACGAGCCGCUUAAAAUUGAAUGGACAGCCGUUGGUCGUGAAAUGCCCGAUUCCGUAACAAGAGAUCGAGGAUACAUUAAAUUCCACGGCAUUACUUAUUCUGAUGCAGGAAGAUACGCCUGCAUUGCCACAAACUCAGCCGGAAGUGCUAAAGCUGUCGCGGAAGUUUUAGUUAAUGAAAACGAAGGAAAUGUGGUGCGAGCCUUAGAAAGAGACAUAUCAACGUUUGCUGGAAACACGGUGAAAUUGAGGUGUGCCGUCCAGGAAAGAGCUGCUAUCCAAUGGAGUAGAGUAGGACAACCUUUGCCUGCAAAUUCGCGAGCAGGUGACAAUUAUCUAGAACUUUUCUAUGUUCAACCAGAAGACAGUGGGCAAUACACUUGCAAAACGAGUAACGAAAACGGUGUAUCGAGCGAUUUUAUAAACUUAAACGUCAGCCCUGCCACUGCGCCUUAUAUUUCGGUGAAGCCAUCUCAGGAUCUUAUUAAUAUUGGAGACACUGUUGACCUCAUUUGCACAACUUCUGGUGUUCAAAAUCCUCGAUACUUGUGGACGAAACUCAAUGAAAUCAGUUUACCGCAUAAUGCAAGAGCACAUGCGAGCACUUUGAGAAUUUCAAAUGCGUCUGUUAGUGACAGUGGAACGUACAGAUGCACUGUGGAAAGUCGCGAUGUCACUCUGGAUGGUGAAUAUAAUCUCGUCGUUCAAGGUGGUACUGCCGAUGCUCCAGCAACUGAAACUGUGUCAGCUCCGUAUGGAUCAGAUAUUGAAAUGAACUGCAGUCACAAUUUAGAUACCCCAGUGAAAUUCCAUUGGAAGAAACUUGAAGGACAAAUGCCAUCGAAUAUUGAUCCACACGAAAACAAAUUGAGGAUUGAGAAUAUCAAAGCAGAAAAUGCUGGAACUUACAUUUGUGUGGCGGACAACGGUCUUGAGACACUUGAGGUUCCAAAUGUUCUUGUCGUAACUGGAGUAGUGCCAUAUUUCCAUCAAGCUCCACAAAGUUACAUUGCUCUUGCCCCAUUAACCGACGUCCAAUUGAGAUUCAACAUCGAGGUUUCGUUCAAAACUGAAAGUUACGAUGGAUUAAUUCUUUACAAUGAUGAAACAAAUCGUGGAAGUGGUGACUUCCUAUCGCUGGCUAUUGUUGGCGGAUAUCCAGUUCUAACAUUCGAACUCGGUUCGGGACCAGCGGAAAUACGAGCCAAUAAAUCAAUCACCCUUAGUACUUGGCACACGAUUAAAAUUCAACGACUCCGAAAGGAAGGAAAUAUGCUCGUCGAUGGAGAGGGACCGUACACUGUUUUUGCAUCGGGUAGGAAACAAACACUGGACUUAAAGGAACCACUUUACGUCGGUGGUGUACCACGAAAUCAAUCAAUCAACGAGUACGUCAAGUAUCGAACCUUCACGAAUGGAGUACAAGGAUUUGUCGGUUGCAUUAGUAAAUUAGUGAUUGGCGAGAGUCAUAUUGACUUGAUGGGCGAUCAAACGGAAAGCACUGGAAUAACGAGUUGUGAAACUUGCGCUGAAAAUGCUUGUCGAAACGGUGGAGUUUGUCAAGAAGCUGCCGUAAAGCAUGGCUAUAAAUGUCUUUGUCGUGCAGGAUACAGUGGAGUCCACUGUGAAUCUAUAGGGCAAUCUUGUUAUCCAGGCGCUUGCGGGGAAGGUAAAUGCGUCGACUUAGAACCCGGUUUCGUAUGCUACUGUCCAUCUGGAAAAUCGGGAUCGAGAUGCGAGCGAACAAUUAAUAUUCAUAAGCCAUUAUUCAGAGAUACUAGAUCAUAUCUUGCAUAUCACACACCAAAAGCUGUCCGAAGAUUAAAAUUAGCGAUGAAUUUCAAUCCAUCGGAUGAGAGUGAUGGAAUUCUAAUGUACGUUUCGCAAAGUGAAGAGGGACUGGGCGAUUUUGCGGCUAUAAUUGUCAAAAAUAAACACGUUGAAUUUCGUUUUGAUGUCGGCUCAGGAAUGGCAGUUAUCAGAUCGAAUAUUAUCGUACAACCAGGGAUUUGGACUCAUAUUUCAGUGAAUAGAGAUUACAAGCAAGGUUCUCUCUCGGUUCAUGGAGAACAACCUGUUGAGGGAAGAUCACCCGGAGCAGCACGAACAAUGAGUUUGAAUACUCCGCUAUACAUCGGUGGAGUUGACAGAAGAAAAAUUAUCGUCAAUAGAGACUUGGGAAUUGAUAAAAGUUUCCACGGUUGUAUAAAUGAGUUGGAGGUUUCUGGUAUGAAUAUUGAUUUGCUAAAGUCGACAAUUGAUUCUGUGAAUGUUGAAGAUUGUUCUACGGUUCAUCAAAAUGAGACGAUACAACAGAAUAUUAACACGACGCAAUCGUCUACUUUAAUGAGUACCGUAUUUAAUCCCUGUGUUUCUAAUCCCUGUAUUAAUGGAUUAUGUCAAAGUAUUAUGCAAGAUUAUUCCUGUACAUGUGAAUACGGUUACGUUGGAAGGAAUUGCGAGAAUGUUUUAAAGCAAUGCGAAUUAUUAGUUCCCUGCAGAAACGGUGGUACUUGCACUGAUUUACAAGGGACCUACAAAUGCGAUUGUCUUCUCGGUUACAAUGGACAAAAUUGCGAAAAACCCGCAGAAUUUUCUUACGACGUGGCGUUUAAAGGCGACGGAUGGUUAGAACUUGAUAAAUCGAUAAUGACACACGAAGAGGAAAGAGAAGUUCUGGGUUUCGAAAUUUCGACGAAUAAAUCGAACGGUUUGAUUAUGUGGCAUGGUCAAACGUUUGAUGAUUUACGUCCAGCUGACUACAUAUCUUUAGCAGUAGUCGAUGGAUACGUGGAAUAUCAAUACAAUUUAGGAUCCGGACCAGCAGUGAUUCGAGUUGCAGCUCAAAGAAUAGAUGAUGGUGAGAGGCAUAGAAUAAUUCUAAAGAGGCAAGGAAGUGACGGAAGUAUUGAAUUAAAUGGCGAACAUACCGAAAGUGGUGUGAGCGAUGGUUUACAGCAAACUCUCAACACACGUGGCAAUGUUUACUUGGGAGGUGUUCCAGACUUUGCAAUGACAUACGGAAGAUAUCGAGACGGCUUUUCCGGAUGUAUUUACACUCUCGAAGUUCAAGAUUCGGGAGCAAUCGAUAUCGGCGAAAAGGCGAUUAGAGGAAAAAACGUUUCCCCUUGCACGAGAGCAAGAUGGAUUCCAUCUUCGCUCGUAUUUCCGGACGCGGAUACCGAUAUUUUUGAUGCAUUUGUACCUCCACCACCUGUAAAUAUAAUACAUCCAAAACCUACACCUAAUCUUGCUUUUCGUAGCGUCGAGUGUCUCUUUCUUUUGUCAUUCACAUCACUCUUUAAUUCCUUAAUAAAUUUUAGCCAUGCUCAUCAACAUUUAUCACUCAUUAGACUAUUGUACAUUAUUUUUUUACUUUGAAAACAAUAUGAAAGUCGUUUUCUAAAUUAAAUAUACAAAAUUUGGAAAACAUUAACUACGGAUAUAAUAUUUAUAUAAAAUUAUUAUAAAAAAAAAAUACAUAAAAGCAAAAGUUACCUGUAACUAAUAAAUUUGUAAAUUAUUUUUUGCUUUUCUAAUCAUGGAAUUGAGCGUUUGAGUGACUUGAGCAAUCACAUUUAAUUGCACCAAUAGAAAAGCAACGGUGUAAUAAUUAUGAUUAAAACAAAAUGCUUGUGCCUGAGAAUCAACAGAUUCUUUAUACGACAAGUUCUCAUCGAUAGAUAAUCAGACUGAACGAGAACGCUGUAAAUAAUUAUAAUGAAAACGCCAAGAAUAAUCAUAAACAAUUUACAAUAGUACAUACUUUUUUCAAGUUUUCUGGCAAUCAAUAUUUCAAUUUUCGAUUAAUAAUAAUUUCAAAUAAUUAGCAGUUUUCGUAAAAAGUGAUUGUUACAAAAAACUGAUAAUUAUUGUAACAUAUCAUAUCGUAUUAUUAGAUCGAAAAGGAUUCUAAUGAUAGAAAAUUAACAAAAAAAAAAUUUUUAAGUACUUGAGCACAACUUGAAAGUAGUAUUAUAAAAUAGGAUAUAAGUAACAUGUCAUUUAUAGCAUUUUUUCAUAGUUACGUAGUUAAUUUUUUAUUAUUGCAUAAAAAAACAAUAUUUUAACAAGUAGGGUAUGUUUUUAAUCUAUACUUAAUGAAUUUUAAUAAUGUUAGAGUAUCACUGCCAUUAUGUUUAAUCAAUGAAACGCAUUUUAAUCUCACAGUAUUGAUUUCUAGAAAAUAUAAUUUUUAAUUUAAUUUUAAUUCAUUUUAAAUUUGUCAUUUUAAAUUAAAAUUAUUGUAAAAAAUUAUUUUCUACAAGUAUAUGAAUUGUUUCUGAAAAUAUUUUCUUUCUGUGUUAUCAUAAUUAUAAUGCAAAAAAAUGUAUCAAACGAACGGCGUGUAUAUAAUUGAUAAAGGGACGUAAAAGCUUCUAAUGAAAGUAUUAAUGAUAAAAUAACAAUUUUUUAAUGUCUAAAAAUUAAAUAUCAACCGGAAUGUUUGUGCGUAACAAAAUUAU